CAAACAACAGGACAAAAAGAUUUAUUUCCAUUGCAAGUAGGAGAGUAAAUACAAAAAAAUCUCUGAUACAUAACAUAAUGUUCUCCUAGGCUGUAACCAUCCACCCCUUUCUUAAAGUCAGCAGAGGGCCUGACCACACCAGAACUCCUCAGGCAGAACAGGAACCAAGAGGCUCUGUCUUUCGGGAAAUGAGCACUUUCAAGGCCCUUCUCUCUUCUCAUCGGUGCUUACACUUAGUGUUUCCUACAGGGUUAUAACCCAAACCUACUGGACACUUAUUCCAAAAACCAAAAGACUAGUUUGAAACUUAGACUAGCUGUGCUAAAAGGAAAGCCCUCAGAUAUUUAUAAUGAAACUUCCAGAAAUCACAAUUUUCCUAAUUCUGGACAGUGCCUGAAAAUUACAAGCAAAGUGCCAGCCAAAAAUACAUUGAGAUCCAAAUGUUUAACAUAUCCCCGUGGCACAAGCAUACAUUGAGAUCCAAUUGUCUAACAUAUCCCCAUGGCAUAUCCCCAUACCCUUAACAGGCAGGCCCAGCCCCAUGGCUCUCCAAGAACACAACAACUUGUAUCUUCCUCCGUCAGUGGUCAUGCAGUGGCAUGAGACACACGGCCACAUGCACCAGCACAGGGUCAGCGCGUCCUGCUGACACAGGGUAGAGCCUGGACAGACAUGUGAUGCUCAGCGCACCCGUUGCACCCGAGCCUGCACAACAGCCUGGGGAGGUUGCAAUAGCCACAAAACCACAGCAGCGCUGGUGGGAAGGGAUCUCUGGAACCUCCAGGCCUGCCACAAGCAGGAGGUUGGAGCAUUGCCACCACUAGCACAGGGCAGGUAUAGCCUGGUCUAUUUUUGUAUUGAAAACCCUGAACGAGAGACCUUGCACAGAUGCAGAGUCCCUCAAAGGGUCCAUAUAGCUCAUUACUAAUCACAAAGCUCCUAUCCAUGGUUUCCAGCUGCUUGUGGCUCAAGUUUAAGCAGUUUGUGGCUAUGUGUCUCAGGUCCUUGUGCAACAGGCGCAACCACUGCACCUGCUGCAGAAAGCAUGCUUUCUAGACAUGUCUGGUUUCCCUAGCUUGUAGGUAGUAAAAGGUCUGGAGAGAAAUAACAAGCAUCUAGACCUUAUCUGCAAAAAAUACACAACUGAACCUACCCAAUUUGUGCCGAGUCAUCAAGAUCUAUCACGCAUGUCCUCCAGACACUGAGUUUUGCUCCCUGAACUUGCUGCAGAUGCUGAGGUCAGGAGCAGUUUGCACAAGAGCUAUAUUAUCACUGGUGCCUUUUUUUCAGACUGAAACUUUAGACUAACACCAGGGCUGGAGCAGAGAAUAAAAACAGGUUGAAGUAAUGGGGAACAAGGGCCAGAAGACCUCUAGACUCAGGAAAAUGAUCCAGUCCAUGCUGAUAACUGCUCUGACAGGAAGGAAGGCAGGCAUUAAGAGGCAGGACAAUUCCUCUCCCGGCUACCCCCAAAGCAGCUAGCAAACCUGCUAGCAAGGGGAUGCAGUGCAAUCCUAGCAGGAGAUGCAAGCAGAGAGCCAGCAGGCAGCUGUCACAAAACUAAGAGCUGGCAGAGCCACUUCUCUUCCAGCUGGUGAAGGGGGAAGCUGGGAGAGGAGCUGGCACAGCAGCCGAGGAGACCUGCCCCACGCUGAGGUAGCCAAGCUGCAGAGGCAGGACUCUGCUCUACCCAGGGUGGAAGCAGCUUAUAGACAUGCCAAGGCCAGGAAGGACAUUGAAAGAGACAACACAGCUCUUCAGGAGGGGAAGCAAGGAUAGGAAAGAUCUGAUUCACUGCAGCGAGGAUGUGAAUGAUGCCUACGCUUGCCACUUGUGGCUUCUCCCUCGCCCCCUGGCAGCAGUGCAAUGCAAUGCAACCUCCCCAGCUCCGUGUACAGGCUGCAGUUUGUGCAGUACCACAAAAAGGGUCCAGAUGGACCAGGGUCAGCAGCACCAGCCCAGUCCCAGCCUCCCAGCCCAUGAGGUGGCUCACCCAC
rnacentral:lncRNA from 1 species